rnacentral:rRNA from 1 species
UGGGGAAUAUUGGACAAUGGGCGAAAGCCUGAUCCAGCCAUGCCGCGUGUGUGAAGAAGGUCUUCGGAUUGUAAAGCACUUUAAGUUGGGAGGAAGGGCAGUAAGCGAAUACCUUGCUGUUUUGACGUUACCGACAGAAUAAGCACCGGCUAACUCUGUGCCAGCAGCCGCGGUAAUACAGAGGGUGCAAGCGUUAAUCGGAAUUACUGGGCGUAAAGCGCGCGUAGGUGGUUCGUUAAGUUGAAUGUGAAAGCCCCGGGCUCAACCUGGGAACUGCAUCCAAAACUGGCGAGCUAGAGUAGGGCAGAGGGUGGUGGAAUUUCCUGUGUAGCGGUGAAAUGCGUAGAUAUAGGAAGGAACAUCAGUGGCGAAGGCGACAACCUGGGCUCAUACUGACACUGAGGUGCGAAAGCGUGGGGAGCAAACAGG